rnacentral:lncRNA from 1 species
AAAAAAAAAACAUUGAGGACAAUGUCUGGUCUAGGUUGGGGGAUAUAGGAUUCGAAUUUUUGAAAAAUUUUUCGCAUUUUCACAUUUUUAAGUGAAUUUCAAAAAAAAAAAAUAAAUUUCAAAAAAAAAAAAACCUAAUUUCUAUGCCUUAGUGCUGAAAUGAUAAUCACACAAAGUAUAUAAAAUCUAAAAAGCCCAAUAACUAGUCAGGAGUAAGUCAAUUUGAGUUCUUUUUAUUAAAUAUUCUUUUAGCGAGUUGUAAG